GCCUGGACAGCUCAGCUGGUUAGAGCACUGUGUUGGUAAUGCCAAGGUUGCAGGUUUGAUCCCCCGUUUGGGACU